CAGAGAGCCCUCUACAGGGACGUCAUGCAGGAGAACUAUGGGACUGUGACCUCGCUGGGACUCCCCAUUCUCAAACCUGCCCUGAUUGCCCGGCUGGAAGCAAGGGAAGAUCCGUGGGUCCCAGAUCUCCAGCCCUUCAAGGAAAGCAACAUCCCAAGAGUCACAGGCACAGCAGGUGACAUGAGAAUGAGGACAGGAAUCCACAGCAGAAAGGUCCUGACCAAGUGGAACUGCAGGGGACCUUGAAGAGCUGGACACUAUUUUUCCCAGUGCUGGGAACAGAGAAAAGCCUGGAGUCACUGGCACAGGUCAGAGAGGAAGCUGGGAAACAGCCCAUGGAAGAAAAUGGAUGAAUCCAUUGAAUGUGGGAGAGGAGGCAAUGGUGCCCAGGAAACCACAGCCCAGCAGACAAAUCACAAGGAAAAGAAACCCUAAAAAUGCUUGGAGUGUGGGAAAACCUUCAGUCAGCAGUCUGGCCUUUUUAAAGCCUGGGAGAAUCCACACUGGAGAGAGGCCAUAAAAGUGCUUUUAUUGUUGUAAAAGUUUUAGUGCACCAUCACCCUGUUGCAUUAGAAAACACACACAGGGUAGAAACCCUUUAAAUGCUUACUCCCCAACACAGCCCCCUCCCCCCGCAAUGCAGCACUUAGCGUACCUCCUCACGGACAGAUCCCAGGCAAACUCCCUCUGUUAGCCUCCGCUGUUCGCCACCUUCCCUGUGUGGGUUCUCCCAUGCUUAAUAAGGGUUGAGCACUAACUGAAACUGUUCAGGUUUCAGAGUAGCAGCCGUGUUAGUCUGUAUCCGGAGAAAGAACAGGAGUACUUGUGGCACCUUAAAGACUAACACAUUUAUUUUAGCAUGAGCUUUCGUGAG